GAUGAACGCUGGCGGCGUGCCUAAUACAUGCAAGUCGAGCGAACAGACGAGGAGCUUGCUCCUCUGACGUUAGCGGCGGACGGGUGAGUAACACGUGGAUAACCUACCUAUAAGACUGGGAUAACUUCGGGAAACCGGAGCUAAUACCGGAUAAUAUAUUGAACCGCAUGGUUCAAUAGUGAAAGACGGUUUUGCUGUCACUUAUAGAUGGAUCCGCGCCGCAUUAGCUAGUUGGUAAGGUAACGGCUUACCAAGGCAACGAUGCGUAGCCGACCUGAGAGGGUGAUCGGCCACACUGGAACUGAGACACGGUCCAGACUCCUACGGGAGGCAGCAGUAGGGAAUAUUACGCAAUGGGCGAAAGCCUGACGGAGCAACGCCGCGUGAGUGAUGAAGGUCUUCGGAUCGUAAAACUCUGUUAUUAGGGAAGAACAAAUGUGUAAGUAACUAUGCACGUCUUGACGGUACCUAAUCAGAAAGCCACGGCUAACUACGUG
rnacentral:rRNA from 1 species